rnacentral:sRNA from 2 species
GUUAAUGUUUUCUAGGGUUCCGUAUUCAGUUGAAUAGUCUGGUCCGAGAGAAAACCCAUGUGAAACGCUCUUCACAUGACACGGAAGGACAAAAGCCUGGGAGAU